AUCCCUUUGUUCGGCAUCAAAAUUUGAACCCCAACUGCAGAGGGAAAAGAGACCAAAAGCUCCUUAAUAUCUAUAUAUCUAUAUCUAAUAUAAUUUAACAGGGGAGCCUGGAAUCGGGGGUCUAGCCUGUGACUGGCUGAGUGGAAACCUGUUCUGGACCAAUCAGAAGACAGAGUCAAUCUACAUGCAGGCAGCUGAUGGAGAAAGUUAUACUUCUGUGCUGAGCAAGAACAUCCGCCCAUCAGAGUUGGUGCUUAUACCUGUGGAGAGGUAUGUCUGACAUUCAUUCCAUCUGAGUACUUUUUAAUUUGAUUUGACAUGAAAAUCACGUCAUGAGGAAUAACUUGGGUAGUGCUGAUUCAAAUACACUGCUCUCUGACUUCCAGCUUGAUGUUCUGGAUCAAUGCUGGCCACGGGGACAGAGUGACAGUAGAGAAGUCAUGGAUGGAUGGGUCGGACAGAAGCUCUCUGAUGUCGCUCACUGCUCAGUCCGCUCACAGCCUCACUGCUGAUGUUGCUGCCAGGAGGCUGUACUGGAUCAGUGACUUCAAGAAGUCUAUAGAGACGGUGAAGGUGGAUGGGACUGGCCGUUACACCUUCACAGGACUGUUCAACAGCAGACCGGCUCUCAGCCUGGCUGUGUUUGAAAGUUCCUUCUACUGGAUGGAUGACAGAGGACUGUGGCAGGUUCCACAGAAACAACCGGAUCAAAAGAAAUUCAUCUUGAAAUCCGCACUGCCAAUAUUAGCGGUUUACCACAAGCUACAACAGCCUCAAGGUAUUUAGUAGAGCAACAGAUAAAAAGCUUAAAAACGCAGAUAAAAACGCAACAUUGUGCUGUUGUCCUCUGAAUUUCCACUGAAAUUUGAAGUACUGUUAUCUCUAUGCAAAGUAUCCAGAUAUGACAAUUUUGAAUAGAAUACUAAAAUAAUUUCCGUAACAAAGGGUCGUAUUUUGUUCAUGUGUCGACUAAUAUUAUAAGAUAUUUCAUCUGUUUUUAAAAAAAACUUUUUAAACUCUCUCAAAGUGUCAGUGUAUCUUCCUUACUCACCUAAGUAACUUCUUUCACAUCUAAUAAUAGUACUCACAUAUCAAAAUGUUUUGUCUUGUCAUCAAUCAGGUUCUUCAGCAUGUACAAAGACUCCAUGUCAACUGUGUCAGCUAACUAAAGGAAGCCCCAUGGGAUUCACCUGUGCUUGUCCUAACUCCAAAGUACUGUUGCUUGAUGGGACAUGUGAAUGUAGGUUUACCGUAGCCUUAAUUUGCCUAUGUUACAAAUGCCUUUUAUGCCACUUUUGAGAGAUAAAUGAUAUAAAUUGUACUUGAUCCUGCUCAAGUUUAGUUUUCUAAAUCAAGGUUCCAAACUCUUGGAUUAGGAAUGUGUUGAAGUCCUUCACUCUUGUCUUUUUUAUAACUUUUUUUCUUUAACUCAUAAAAAACAUUAUUUACUUUGUUUCCAUAGAUCCAAGGUUUAUAUAUGCUACUAUCACCCACAUCAACAUGUUGGAGUUUAGAGGCAAAGUCUCCACUGAUACCCAGCUCUUCGCCACUGAUGACAGUAUCCUGUCAUUCGAUCUGGACUGGUACAGAGACUUGCUUUAUUGGGCUAACCAAACUGGCCAUAUCCAACGCACGAGUCUAACUGAGGCCAAAACUGAGGUGGUCCCAGCACCGUUGCCAGGCAAGUGGUUUGAGCUUUUAGUGCAGAAGACAUGCUGCUAUUAAAGUGGAACUGAGACAUUUUUAUUUAUCACUUAGGUAUGUUCGGACUGCAGGCAAUUCUGAUUUGUUUCUUGAAUAAGAUCUUUAUUUGUAAGUGAUUAGAUUGAAUUUUGAUGGUCAAGUGUCAGUAACUUAUCUGCAUUGGUUGCAGGUCAAUCAGUUGCUUCUCUGUCACAACUGAUUGACCUGCUCUUUUUUUGUAGUUUGUCUGAUAAAAGUCGACCAGAGGAGAGGGAACCUGUAUUGGGUCUCAUGCGACCAAAACAGCAUCGGCACCACCACAGUCAACAAUCAAUACUCACAGCAGCUGUACCAUACAACAAAGGAGAUUCGAGACAUGUAUCUGGACUGGCUGAGGGGUGGCCUCCUGUGGCUGGAGGAAGAGCGAAUCCUCAGCAUGACCUUGACAGGAGGCCAAGCCAGAGAGCUGCUGCACUUAGCAGGAGGUGUUGGGGGGAACAUUGCCUUCGACUUCAGGGCUGGUAGUCUACUCUGGAACUCAAAGAGGGCAGGUCUGUAGAUCAGAGGGAUAAAAUGUUUUUUUUCCAUGUUCAAAUGUCUUAGAAGCUGAAGUUAUAACAAUAGAAGUUUUUCAAAGAAGUGAAAUUUUAUUUAUUUAUUUUUGUUAUUAGAGAGUAGUUA
ensembl:lncRNA